AUUGACCAGACUGAGCUGACCAAAUGGGUCCAGCUAACAUGGUGCGGUCUGUCCUUCAUAGAUUCAUCCUCCAACCGGACUUUCCCUCCACUGUCUGCACCGCAUGCUCUUGAUUUCGUCGCCAAAAGUGUUUCCUUUCUUUCUUCCUCUUCACACCGCAAUCGUUAUGUUACAAAAACAUUUUCUUUUCCUUCUCUUUUCUCUCUAUUUCAUUUCCAUUCAAUUCCCAAAUUUUAUUUUCCUCUGUGUUAAAGAUUGCAUGAUGGGUCGAGGUUAUAAGGUGGAUCUCGAAAGGAUUUUGACUGAGGCUGAGUUUAGGGUUUUUGCAAUGAGCCUGUAUCUGAGCGGAGAUGGGGAAACACGUUUGAGUUUUUGACAUUGAUGAAACUUUGUUCUCCACUACGUUGAGCAUGGUUAUGGCUUGGAGAUUUUCGAUCCUGUUGAGUUCAAUAAGUGGUUAUAGAGGAGAUGGCACCAGCAAUAGAGCCUAGCCCACCCUAGCCUGAAACUUUUUGAAGAAGGUUUUAAAUUUGGGCUCUAAAGUUUUCUUGCUGACCGGGAGAAGUGAAAAGCAAAGAUCUAUGACUAUUGAAAAUUUGACUAAAGCAGGGUUUCGGAGCUGGAACAAGCUUAUUUUAAGAGACUUCGAAGUCCACGGCAAGCCAGAAACAGUGUUUAAAUAGAAGAAGAGGACAAAAAUGGUAGAAGAGAGAUAUAGUAUUGUUGAUGUGUGGGAUCAACGAGAAGACAUGGAGGAGGAUGUAGUGGUGUUGAUGGAGGUCGGUUCACCUUGUCUGGGCGGAGAGCCAGAGAAUAUUGAAAGUAAAGGUGGUGGAGGUGAACGCUGAGAGCAGAGUAGCAGAAUGGAGGUCAGAAUGUUGAAGAGUCAGUUCCUUCCUCCUCAUUCUGGGGGUUAUUUACAGGAGAGGUCCCAUGGUAGAUGGCAUUAACGUGUCAGACCCGCUAUCAGGUCAUCAUUGUGAGAUGCAUGGAAAGGAUGUCCGUGGGACAUAUUGUCAUUCCUUUUGAAUUAUGGUAUGGAGUAAUUGAGCCCACACGGGGUUCGGUGGCCUCAAGAGUCAUGUUCUUAAUAAGAGAUUGGGUGCCUAGAGGAACGAGUGGUGGCAUCCUUCUAGGGAAUGGGUCGAUAGCUUCUUUGAGCAGCUUCAUCCCAUUUGGUGGGAUAGUUGAAACGGAAGGCAAAGCUUCUAAUAACUGCCCAAUCUAUAGCGGGCGGAGGUCAGUCCUCAGGUAGUCUAUUGUGUGUCUUAAAUCGGUGGAGGUAUAACAAGUAUUUAAAUGAUAAGUAAUAAACAACCAAAUAAAAAUCAAAGUUAUGCCAGAUUAUUGGUAUCUUUUCUGUUAACACAAGGACUAUAGCAAUGACCGAGUUUCGUUUCAAAAACUCAUUAACUGCAAGAUGUUGGAACUGACAAUUAAUUAAGAAGUGAUGGAUUGAUAGUUUGUUGAUUGAAAA